GACGAACGCUGGCGGCGUGCUUAACACAUGCAAGUCGUACGACAGCAUUUCCUUUUAGGUUGUGUUUGGAGUGGCGAACGGGUGAGUAACACGUGGGUGACCCUGCCCUCAGCUCUGGGAUAAGCCUGGGAAACCGGGUCUAAUACCGGAUAUGACUCCAUGACGCAUGUUGUGGGGUGGAAAGCCUUGUGCGGCUGAGGAUGGGCCCGCGGCCUAUCAGCUUGUUGGUGGGGAUGGCCUACCAAGGCGACGACGGGUAGCCGGCCUGAGAGGGCGACCGGCCACACUGGGACUGAGACACGGGCCCAGACUCCUACGGGAGGGCAGCAGUGGGGAAUCUUGCGCAAUGGGCGAAAGCCUGACGCAGCGACGCCGCGUGAGGGAUGACGGCCUCGGU
rnacentral:rRNA from 1 species